rnacentral:lncRNA from 1 species
AGAGGGCAGCAACCGACUUGUGCGAAAGGAGGGAACGUGUGGGUCUGCCAGGGUCCUGCAGGGGGGAUGAGACCCUCGCUCCGCUCCGGCGAUCCCUUCGCUCUCCACCCUCGGCCAGCCCCUCCUGUCCUCCAUCAGGCCUCGCUGAGGAUACCUCCUGGGUUCCAAAGCGCGAGUUGAACCUGAGCUUGACAUUCAUUCCGUCUCGUACAAAAGCCAUGCCUGCGGGGAGAGGGAGAAAAUUUCCUACAGGAGCCUCAAGACUGCGUUUCAGGAAGCCCUAGGACCCACUGAUCCUGCAGCUGCGCCUCUCACUCGCCUCAGGUUUGGAUUAAUUGUCACUUUCUGUUAAGCUGACAUUUAUGGAGGGCCUAGUGCGUCCUGGGUGCUGCGCUAUUUAGGCUGUUGCACAGAGGAGUGGCCAACUCCAGCAAGGCUCUUGCUUUGCUGCUUCCCCAUUCUUCCUCCGCCUGUAAUCCAGACAAAAGCCCACAUUGUAACCAAUCCAGGGGCAGCUUAGCAGUGCCAAGCAGGCAGCUCAGAGGCCACUGGUAGGACAGGGCAUGAUCAACAGGCCUCCUGAUAUUUUCUAACAUACGUAUUAACAAGAAAGAGGAAAUUAAAAAACGAAGAUGGACAACAGAACUUCACUCUGACUUGAGUGACUUUUAUCCUCAUUUGGAUAAUAGUUUUCAAAAAUUAUUUGUGAGUGUAUAUGUGCUAUUCACAAAGCAAUGGCUACUGACCCAACACGUAUUUACAUCUCUUCUUCAUUAUUGCAUUUCACUCCGUAAAUGUCUUAGCCUAGACAAUCAACAAAGCCAUAAACCAAAUCCUGAUUUGUAGCAUUUGCUGACUUCUGUGUUUAAAUUACCCAUCAUAGGCGAUUUUAAGUUACAAUAUGUAGUCGUUGAAUACAGAUUUGGAGAGAGUCACAAUUGCACACUCUUUUAUAUUUUUCCACCUAAAAGGUACAAUAGACAUAAAUAACUCUAAGAACACAGAUAACAGCAAAAUGUAGCAACUAAUUAGGAAGAAAUGAAUUUUGUGUCUCCAUUACUUUUCCAGUAAAAUUCAUCUAACAAGUGUAUUACAAACAAGUGUAUGCAAUUGAAUUUUAACUCAAAAUUUUAGAAUUUGAACAAUUGAUGCUAGUUAGGGUGUGAGCUAGCUCCAGCACAUAAUCCUGUCCCGUGAAGAGAAGUUUUAUGGCUUACAUUUUUAGAUAUAUCUAAGUUUACUGGAACUCAAAUACAGAACAAAAUCCCACCAAAAUUAACAUAUACUGUCAUAUAUAAAUAUAUACACUUUUAUAUGUGUACAUAUAUAUGUGUAUACACACUUUAAUAUAUGUAUAUAUGUAUAUAUACUUUAUGUAUAUGUUUUACAUAUAUUUUUAAUAUAUGCAUGUAUCUGUAUAUAUACUUUUAAUUAACAGUCAUGUUACAGAGGGCCUACUCUGACAGAAAUGUACAUCUCUCAGAAUCAUUAUCAUCCAGUGCAAGUGUCAGCUAACUACUGCCAAUAGGCUAGAUAUCUCUAGCUUGCCACCUGGUUUUGUACUGCCAGAGAGCUAUGUAUGGAUUUUACACAUUUAUACUGUAAAGACCAUUAUCUUUUCCACAUGAACAGUUGCUUGAAGAGUUGAGGGUAUUGGCAGUAGCAACAACAGACAACUAAAGAACAAAGCAAAUAUCCAGUAUGUUUAGAUGAGUUGGCAGCAAUGCUGUUAUUUCCUUGAGGAGUUAAUGUUGAGUUUGAAGUCACUAAAGAAUCAUCUCCUAUGAAUAGUCUGCUGGGAACAACUAUACAUGAGAAUAUUUUUAAAGAAGUUGAGAAAAUAUGAAUUCAUUACAACCUGAAGUACAAUCUGCUAAGAUCUCUUUCAAUUGAAUCUGAGACAGUAUGUGGAACAGAAAAAGUCUAAUUUGAAAAAAUUUACAAAGCUUGUGAAAAUAUACGUUGUUUAUUUAUUUAUUCAUUUUAUUAUUCAUCAGCAGUACUUUGCAUAAAACAUUUUAAUCUAUCAUUUGUUAUUUAAACCAGCAUUGUCAUUGCUGAACUACAUUCACUCUGGUGAACAGUUCAGACAACUAGAAAUGAAAGAUGAAUACCCUGAGCUUGUCCUACUGCAUGGCAGUUUGAUGGGUUAGGACUCAAUUUUUUUGAAAUUUUUGAGCUUAAGGAAGAGAUCAAAAUAUUUUUCUGUAUGAAAAGAAUUUCCCUUGGCCUGUACUAACAACCACUGAAUGACUUUGGAAAUUAGCUUUUGCUACAGACUUGAUAAUGCUUCUUAUAUCUUUCUUUCUUUUUUUUUUUUUUUUUUGAGAUGGAAUCUCGCUCUGUCACCCAGGCUGGAGUACAGUGACUCGAUCUCAGCUCACUGCAACCUCCACCUCCUGGAUUCAAGUGAUUCUCCUGCCUCAGCCUCCUGAGUAGCUGCGAUUACAGGCACGUGCCACCACGCCCAGCUAAUUUUUGUAUUUUUAGUAGAGAUGGUGUUUCACCGUGUUGGUCAGGCUGGUCUCAAACUCCUGACCUCGUGAUCCGCCCGCCUCGGCCUCCCAAAGUGCUGGGAUUAUAGGCAUGAGCCACCAUGCCCGGCCUUGAUAAUGUUUCUUAAUGAAUUCAACCUGUAUAUAUACAAGGCAAGAUGGUGCUUAUAUAUGGAAGUUAUACUGCAAUAUAUCCUUUAGAUAACGAAUGUUAUAUAAAUCCCUAGUAAUGUUGAGUUGAUCUGUAAAUUUCUUAUGUUGGAAAAAGUGAAAACAAAAUGAACUCCAUUCCCACACUAUUUGAAGCAUCUAUAAUUUCCCAGAUCAAGCUACAGCUUCAAUUACAUUUUUCUCAUCUUUAGGAAAGGACAGAGGAAAUUCUGAUAUCUCAGAAUCUGUUUAAUUUUCCAAUUGAGAAGCUGCCACCUAACUUUUCUUUUCUUUUUUUUUAUUUUAUUUUUCACAGAGUAUCUUUUUUUUAUUAUUAUACUUUAAGUUUUAGGGUACAUGUGUACAACGUGCAGGUUUGUUACAUAUGUAUACAUGUGCCAUGUUGGUGUGCUGCACCCAUUAACUCGUCAUUUAACGUUAGGUAUAUCUCCUAAUGAUAUCCCUCCCCGCUCCCCCCACCCCACAACAGGCCCUGGUGUGUGAUGUUCCCCUUCCUGUGUCCAUGUGUUCUCAUUGUUCAAUUCCCACCUAUGAGUGAGAACAUGUGGUGUUUGGUUUUUUGUCCUUGCAAUAGUUUGUUGAGAAUAAUGGUUCCCAGCUUCAUCCACAUCCCUACAAACGACAUGAUCUCAUCAUUUUUUAUGGCUGCAUAGUAUUCCAUGGUGUAUAUGUGCCACAUUUUCUUAAUCCAGUCUAUCAUUGUUGGACAUUUGGGUUGGUUCCAAGUCUUUGCUAUUGUGAAUAGUGCCACAAUAAACAUAUGUGUGCAUGUGUCUUUAUAGCAGCAUGAUUUACAAUCCUUUGGGUAUAUACCCAGUAAUGGGAUGCCUGGGGCAAAUGGUAUUUCUAGUUCUGGAUCCCUGAGGAAUCGCCACACCGACUUCCACAAUGGUUGAACUAGUUGACAGUCCCACCAACAGUGUAAAAGUGUUCCUAUUUCUCCACAUCCUCUCCAGCACCUGUUCUUUCCUGACUUUUAAAUGAUCACCAUUCUAACUGCUGUGAGAUGGUAUCUCACUGUGGUUUUGAUUUGCAUUUCUCUGAUGGCCAGUGAUGAUGAGCAUUUUUUCAUGUGUCUUUUAGCUGCAUAAAUGUCUUCUCCUGAGAAAUGUCUGUUCAUAUCCUUUGCCCACUUGUUGGUGGGGUUGUUUUUUUCUUGUAAAUUUGUUUGAGUUCAUUGUAGAUUCUGGAUAUUAGCCCUUUGUCAGAUGAGUAGACUGCAAAAAUUUUCUCCCAUUCUGUAGGUUGCCUGUUCACUCUGAUGGUAGUUUCUUUUGCUGUGUAGAAGUCUUUAGUUUAAUUAGAUCCCAUUUGUCAAUUUUGGCUUUUGCUGCCAUUGCUUUUGGUGUUUUAGACAUGAAGUCCUUGCCCAUGCCUAUGUCCUGAAUGGUAUUGCCUAGGUUUUCUUCUAGGAUUUUUAUGGUUUUAGGUCUAACAUUUAAGUCUUUAAUCCAUCUUGAAUUCAUUUUUGUAUAAGGUGUAAGGAAGAGAUCCAGUUUCAGCUUUCUACAUAUGGCUAGCCAGUUUUCCCAGCACCAUUUAUUAAAUAGGGAAUCCUUUCCCCAUUUCUUGUUUUUGUCAGGUUUGUCAAAGAUCAGAUAGUUGUAGAUAUCUGGCAUUACUUCUGAGGGCUCUGUUCUGUUCCAUUGGUCUAUAUCUCUGUUUUGGUACCAGUACCAUGCUGUUUUGGUUACUCUAGCCUUGUAGUAUAGUUUGAAGUCAGGUAGCGUGAUACCUCCAGCUUUGUUCUUUUGGCUUAGGAUUGACUUGGCAAUGUCGGCUCUCUCUUGGUUCCAUAUAAACUUUAAAGUAUUUUUUUUCAAUUCUGUGAAGAAAGUCAUUGGUAGCUCGAUGGGGAUGGCAUUGAAUCUAUAAAUUAUCUUGGGCAGUAUGGCCAUUUUCAUGAUAUUGAUUCUUCUUACCCAUGAGCAUGGAAUGUUCUUCCAUUUGUUUGUAUCCUCUUUUAUUUCAUUGAGCAGUGGUUUGUAGUUCUCCUUGAAGAGGUCCUUCACAUCCCUUGUAAGUUGGAUUCCUAGGUAUUUUAUUCUCUUUGAAGCAAUUGUGAAUGGGAGAUCACUCAUGAUUUGGCUCUCUGUUUGUCUGUUAUUGGUGUAUAAGAAUGCUUGUGAUUUUUGCACAUUGACUUUGUAUGCUUAGACUUUGCUGAAGUUGCUUAUCAGCUUAAGGAAAUUUUGGGCUGAGACGAUGGGGUUUUCUAGAUAUACAAUCAUGUCAUCUGCAAACAGGGACAAUUUGACUUCCUCUUUUCCUAAUUGAAAACCCUUUAUUUCCUUCUCCUGCCUAAUUGCCCUGGCCAGAACUUCCAACACUAUGUUGAACAGGCGUGGUGAGAGAGGGCAUCCCUGUCUUGUGCUAGUUUUCAAAGGGAAUGCUUCCAGUUUUUGCCCAUUCAGAAUGAUAUUGGCUGUGGGUUUGUCAUAGAUAGCUCUUAUUAUUUUGAGAUACAUCCCAUCAAUACCUAAUUUAUUGAGAGUUUUUAGCAUGAAGGGCUGUUGAAUUUUGUCAAAGGCCUUUUCGGCAUCUAUUGAGAUAAUCAUUUGGUUUUUAUCGUUGGUUCUGUUUAUAUGCUGGAUUACAUUUAUGAUUUGCAUAUGUUGAACCAGCCUUGCAUCCCAGGGAUGAAGCCCACUUGAUCAUGGUGGAUAAGCUUUUUGAUGGUGCUGCUGCAUUCGGUUUGCCAGUAUUUUACUGAGAUUUUUGCAUCGAUGUUCAUCAGCGAUAUUGGUCUAAAAUUCUCUUUUUUUGUUGUGUCUCUGCCAGGCUUUGGUAUCAGGAUGAUGCUGGCCUCAUAAAAUGAGAUAGAGAGGAUUCCCUGUUUUUCUGUUGAUUGGAAUAGUUUCAGAAGGAAAGGUAUCAGCUGUUCCUUGUAUCUCUGGUAUAAUUCGGCUGUGAAUCCAUCUGGUCCUGGACUCUUUUUGGUUGGUAAGCUAUUGAUUAUUGCCACAAUUUCAGCUCCUGUUAUUGGUCUAUUCAGAGAUUCAACUUCUUCCUGGUUUAGUCUUGGGAAGUGUAUGUGUCGAGGAAUUUAUCCAUUUCUUCUAGAUUUUCUAGUUUAUUUGCAUAGAGGUGUUUAUAGUAUUCUCUGAUGGUAGUUUGUAUUUCUGUGGGAUCGGUGGUGAUAUCCCCUUUAUCAUUUUUUAUUGCAUCUAUUUGAUUCUUCUCUUUUUUCUUCUUUAUUAGUCUUGCUAGCAGUCUAUCAAUUUUGUUGAUCUUUUCAAGAAAACCAGCUCUUGGAUUCAUUGAUUUUUUGAAGGUUCUUUGUGUCUCUAUCUCCUUCAGUUUUGCUCUGAUCUUUGUUAUUUCUUGCCUUCUGCUAGCUUUUGAAUGUGUUUGCUCUUGCUUGUCUAGUUCUUUUAAUUGUGAUGUUAGGGUGUCAAUUUUAGAUCUUUCCCGCUACCUCUUGUGGGCAUUUAGUGCUGUAAAUUUCCCUCUACACACUGCUUUGAAUGUGUCCCAGAGAUUCUGGUAUGUUGUGUCUUUGCUCUCAUUGGUUUCAAAGAACAUCUUUAUUUCUGCCUUCAUUUUGUUAUUACCCAGUAGUCAUUCAGGAGCAGGUUGUUCAGUUUCCAUGUAGUUGAGCGGUUUUGAGUGAGUUUCUUAAUCCUGAGUUCUAGUUUGAUUGCACUGUGGUCUGAGAGACAGUUUGUUAUAAUUUCUCUUCUUUUACAUUUGCUGAGGAGUGCUUUACUUCCAACUAUGUGGUCAAUUUUGGAAUAGGUGUAGUGUGGUGCUGAAAAGAAUGUGUAUUCUGCUGAUUUCGGGUGGAGAGUUCUGUAGAUAUCUAUUAGGUCUGCUUGGUGCAGAGCUGAGUUCAAUUCCUGGAUAUCCUUGUUAACUUUCUGUCUCAUUGAUCUGUCUAAUGUUGACAGUGGGGUGUUAAAAUCUCCCGUUAUUAUUGUGUGGGAGUCUAAGUCUCUUUGUAGGUCUCUCAGGACUUGCUUUAUGAAUCUGGGUGCUCCUGUAUUGUGUGCAUAUGUAUUUAGGAUAGUUAGCUCUUCUUGUUGAAUUGAUCCCUUUACCAUUAUGUAAUGGCCUUCUUCGUCUCUUUUGAUUUUGUUGGUUUAAAGUCUGUUUUAUCAGAGACUAAGAUUGCAGCCCCUGCCUUUUUUUGUUUUCCAUUUGCUUGGUAGAUCUUCCUCCAUCCCUUUAUUUUGAGCCUAUGUGUGUCUUUGCACGUGAGAUGGGUUUCCUGAAUACAGCACACCGAUGGGUCUUGACUCUUUAUCCAAUUUGCCAGUCUGUGUCUUUUAAUUGGAGCAUUUAGCCCAUUUACAUUGAAGGUGAAUAUUGUUAUGUGUGAAUUUGAUCCUGUCAUUAUGAUGUUAGCUGGUUAUUUUGCUCAUUAGUUGAUGCAGUUUCUUCCUAGCCUCGAUGGUCUUUACAAUUUGGCAUGUUUUUGCAGUGGCUGGUACUGGUUGUUCUUUUCCAUGUUUAGUGCUUCCUUCAGGAGCUCUUGUAGGGCAGGCCUGGUGGUGACAAAAUCUCUCAGCAUUUGCUUGUCUGUAAAGGAUUUUAUUUCUCCUUCACUUAUGAAGCUUAGUUUGGCUGGAUAUGAAAUUCUGGGUUAAAAAUUCUUUUCUUUACGAAUGUUGAAUAUUGGUCCCCACUCUCUUCUGACUUGUAGAGUUUCUGCCGAGAGAUCAGCUGUUAGUCUGAUGGGCUUCCCUUUGUGGGUAACCCGACCUUUCUCUCUGGCUGCCCUUAACAUUUUUUCCUUCAUUUCAACUUUGGUGAAUCUGACAAUUAUGUGUCUUGGAGUUGCUGUUCUCAGGGAGUAUCUUUGUGGCGUUCUCUGUAUUUCCUGAAUUUGAAUGUUGGCCUGCCUUGCCAGAUUGGGGAAGUUCUCCUGGAUAAUAUCCUUUAGAGUGUUUUCCAACUUGAUUCCAUUCUCUUCGUCACUUUCAGGUACACCAAUUAGAUGUAGAUUUGGUCUUUUCACGUAGUCCCAUAUUUCUUGGAGGCUUUGUUCAUUUCUUUUUAUUCUUUUUUCUUUAAACUUCUCUUCUCACUUCAUUUCAUUCAUUUGAUCUUCCAUCACUGAUACCCUUUCUUCCAGUUGAUCGAAUCAGCUACUGAGGCUUGUGCAUUCGCCACGUAGUUCUCGUGCCUUAGUUUUCAGCUCCAUCAGGUCCUUUAAGGACUUCUCCACAUUGGUUAUUCUAGUUAGCCAUUCGUCUACUUUUUUUCAAGGUUUUUAACUUCUUUUCCAUGGGUUUGAACUUCCUCCUUUAGCUCAGAUUAGUUUGAUCAUCUGAAGCCUUCUUCUCUCAACUCGUCAAAGUCAUUCUCCAUCCAGCUUUGUUCCAUUGCUGGUGAGGAGCUGUGUUCCUUUGGAGGAGGAGAGGCACUCUGAUUUUUAAAGUUUCCAGUUUUUCUGCUCUGUUUUUUCCCCAUCUUUGUGGUUUAAUCUACCUUUGGUCUUUGAUGAUGGUGACGUGCAGAUGGGGUUUUGGUGUGAAUGUCCUUUCUGUUUGUUAGUUUUUCUUCUAACAGUCAGGACCCUCAGCUGCAGGUCUGUUGGAGUUUGCUGGAGGUCCACUCCAGACCCUGUUUGCCUGGGUAUCAGCAGCGGAGGCUGCAGAACAGUGGAUAUUGGUGAACAGCAAUUGUUGCUGCCUGAUUUUUCCUCUGGAAAUUUUGUCUCAGAGGAGUACCCCGCCGUGUGAGGUGUCAGUCUGCCCCUACUGGGGGGUGCCUCCCAGUUAAGCUACUUGGGGGUCAGGGACCCCCUUGAGGAGGCAGUCUGUCUGUUCUCAGAUCUCCAGCUGGGUGCUGGGAGAACCACUACUCUCUUCAAAGCUGUCAGACAGGGAUAUUCAAGUCUUCAGAGGUUUCUGCUGCCUUUUGUUUGCCUAUGCCCUGCUCCCAGAGGUGGAGUCUACAGAGGCAGGCAGUCCUCCUUGAGCUGCAGUCAGCUCCACCCAGUUCGAGCUUCUCGGCCGCUUUGUUUACCUACUCAAGCCUCGGCAAUAGCGGGCGCCCCUCCCCCAGCCUUGCUGCCACCUUGCAGUUUGAUCUCAGUCUGCUGUGCUAGCAAUGAGCAAGGCUCCGUGGGCUAGGACCCUCUGAGCCAGGCACCGGAUAUAAUCUCCUGGUGUGCCAUUUGCUAAGACCAUUGCAAAAGCACAGUAUUAGGGUGGGAGUGACCCGAUUUUUCAAGUGCCGUCUGUCACCCCUUUCUUUGACUAGGAAAGGGAAUUCCCUGACCCCCUGCAAUUCCCAGGUGAGGUGAUGCCUCACCCUGCUUUGGCUCACACUCGGUGCACUGCACCCACUGUCCUGCACCCACUGUCUGACACUCCCCAGUGAGAUGAACCUGGUACCUCAGUCGGAAAUGCAGAAAUCACCCAUCUUCUCCGUCGCUCACGCUGGGAGCUGUAGACUGGAGCUGCUCCUAUUCGACCAUCUUGGCUCCACCCUCACUGCCACCUAACUUUUCAACUGGAAAUGAUUACUCUGUAAAGCAAUGACAUAAUAAAAUACAAAUAUUAAGAAAAUAGUCUGACAGAAUUCUAUCUGCCUUUUAAGGGAUAAAUUUGUACAAUUGAAAUUAUAUGCUAAUGGAUUGAUAUCAGUAUUUGGCAGUUCUCUUAAAUGUGAAAAGCUAUUUCAAAGACAAAAUCUGUAAAAUCUCGUUUCAGAUCAGCAUUAACAGAUGAGCAAUUAUUUAUGAUGAGCACAACUUUGAACACUGAUUACAUAAAAUGUUAAUAAAAUAAUUAUCAAAUUGUACUUGAUUUCUAUUUUGUGUUUCAUCUAUAAUACUAGCAAGAAUUUUUCUUGUUAUACGAGGAUCUGCAUUUUAUCCUUAAUUUUGCCUUCAGCCUGGAAACCUAAAAUAUGUAGUAUCUGGCCCCUUAAAACAAUUUUGCUGAUUCCUGAUCUACUUGAAAAUAAAAUUAG